ACUCAAAGGAAUUGACGGGGGCCCGCACAAGCGGCGGAGCAUGCGGAUUAAUUCGAUGCAACGCGAAGAACCUUACCAAGGCUUGACAUGCACUGGAAUGCUUCAGAGAUGAAGAACUCGUUGGAUACCGGUGUGCAGGUGGUGCAUGGUUGUCGUCAGCUCGUGUCGUGAGAUGUUGGGUUAAGUCCCGCAACGAGCGCAACCCUUGUCGCAUGUUGCCAGCGGUUCGGCCGGGGACUCAUGUGAGACUGCCGGGGUUAACUCGGAGGAAGGUGGGGAUGACGUCAAAUCAUCAUGCCCCUUAUGUCUUGGGCUUCACGCAUGCUACAAUGGCCGGUACAGUGGGUUGCGAUACUGUGAGGUGGAGCGAAUCCCUUUAAAGCCGGUCUCAGUUCGGAUUGGGGUCUGCAACUCGACCUCAUGAAGUUGGAGUCGCUAGUAAUCGCAGAUCAGCAUUGCUGCGGUGAAUACGUUCCCGGGCCUUGUACACACCGCCCGU
rnacentral:rRNA from 1 species